rnacentral:rRNA from 2 species
GGGGAAUAUUGCACAAUGGAGGAAACUCUGAUGCAGCGAUGCCGCGUGAGGGAAGAAGGUUUUAGGAUUGUAAACCUCUGUCUUCAGGGACGAAAAAAGGACGGUACCUGAGGAGGAAGCUCCGGCUAACUACGUGCCAGCAGCCGCGGUAAUACGUAGGGAGCGAGCGUUGUCCGGAAUUACUGGGUGUAAAGGGAGCGUAGGCGGGAUCGCAAGUCAGAUGUGAAAACUAUGGGCUUAACCCAUAAACUGCAUUUGAAACUGUGGUUCUUGAGUGAAGUAGAGGUAAGCGGAAUUCCUAGUGUAGCGGUGAAAUGCGUAGAUAUUAGGAGGAACAUCAGUGGCGAAGGCGGCUUACUGGGCUUUAACUGACGCUGAGGCUCGAAAGCGUGGGGAGCAAACAGGAUUAGAUACCCUGGUAGUCCACGCCGUAAACGAUGAUUACUAGGUGUGGGGGGACUGACCCCUUCCGUGCCGCAGCAAACGCAAUAAGUAAUCCACCUGGGGAGUACGACCGCAAGGUUGAAACUCAAAGGAAUUGACGGGGGCCCGCACAAGCAGUGGAGUAUGUGGAUUAAUUCGAAGCAACGCGAAGAACCUUACCAGGUCUUGACAUCGUAUGCAUAGCUCAGAGAUGAGUGAAAUUUCUUCGGAGACAUAUAGACAGGUGGUGCAUGGUUGUCGUCAGCUCGUGUCGUGAGAUGUUGGGUUAAGUCCCGCAACGAGCGCAACCCUUACUGUUAGUUGCUACGCAAGAGCACUCUAGCAGGACUGCCGUUGACAAAACGGAGGAAGGUGGGGAUGACGUCAAAUCAUCAUGCCCCUUAUGACCUGGGCCUCACACGUACUACAAUGGCUGUAAACAGAGGGAAGCAAAGCCGCGAGGUAGAGCGAACCCCUAAAAGCAGUCUUAGUUCGGAUUGUAGGCUGCAACCCGCCUACAUGAAGUCGGAAUUGCUAGUAAUCGCAGAUCAGCAUGCUGCGGUGAAUACGUUCCCG